AGAUGUGAAAGCCCUGGGCUCAACCUGGGAACUGCAUUUUGAACUGGCAAGCUAGAGUUUUGUAGAGGGUAGUGGAAUUUCCAGUGUAGCGGUGAAAUGCGUAGAGAUUGGAAGGAACAUCAGUGGCGAAGGCGGCUACCUGGACAAAGACUGACACUGAGGCACGAAAGCGUGGGGAGCAAACAGGAUUAGAUACCCUGGUAGUCCACGCCGUAAACGAUGUCAACUAGCCGUCUGUGGUCUUGAACCGUGGGUGGCGUAGCUAACGCGCUAAGUUGACCGCCUGGGGAGUACGGCCGCAAGGUUAAAACUUAAAUGAAUUGACGGCAUUCAACACAAACCCGCGGUACUCCUACGGGAGGCAGCAGCUAAGAAUAUUCCGCAAUGGACGAAAGUCUGACGGAGCGACGCCGCGUGGAUGACGAAGGCCGAAAGGUUGUAAAGUCCUUUUGCUGAUGAAGAAUAAGCGUGGUAGGGAAUGACCGCGUGAUGACAUUAGUCGGUGAAUAAGCCCCGGCUAACUACGUGCCAGCAGCCGCGGUAACACGUAGGGGGCAAGCGUUGUUCGGAAUUAUUGGGCGUAAAGGGCAUGUAGGCGGUUUGGUAAGCCUGAUGUGAAAUCCUGCAGCUUAACUGUAGAACUGCAUUGGGUACUGCCGAACUUGAAUCACUGAGGGGAAACUAGAAUUCCAGGUGUAGGGGUGGAAUCUGUAGAUAUCUGGAAGAAUACCGGUGGCGAAGGCGGGUUUCUAGCAGAUGAUUGACGCUGAGGUGCGAAAGUGCGGGGAGCGAACAGGAUUAGAUACCCUGGUAGUCCGCACCGUAAACGAUGUACACUAGGUGUCGGGGCAUGAGUCUCGGUGCCAAAGCUAACGUAAUAAGUGUACCGCCUGGGAAGUAUGCCCGCAAGGGUGAAACUCAAAGGAAUUGGCGGGGGAGCACAAGCAUACGGUUGUACUCCUACGGGAGGCAGCAGUAGGGAAUUUUCGUCAAUGGGGGGAACCCUGAACGAGCAAUGCCGCGUGAGUGAGGAAGGUCUUCGGA
rnacentral:rRNA from 1 species